AUUGAACGCUGGCGGCAGGCUUAACACAUGCAAGUCGAGCGGAGUGAUGGUGCUUGCACUAUCACUUAGCGGCGGACGGGUGAGUAAUGCUUAGGAAUCUGCCUAUUAGUGGGGGACAACAUCUCGAAAGGGAUGCUAAUACCGCAUACGUCCUACGGGAGAAAGCAGGGGAUCACUUGUGACCUUGCGCUAAUAGAUGAGCCUAAGUCGGAUUAGCUAGUUGGUGGGGUAAAGGCCUACCAAGGCGACGAUCUGUAGCGGGUCUGAGAGGAUGAUCCGCCACACGGGGUCUGAGCACCGGCCCAGACUCCUACGGGAGGCAGCAGUGGGGAAUAUUGGACAAUGGGGGGAACCCUGAUCCAGCCAUGCCGCGUGUGUGAAGAAGGACUUAUGGUUGUAAAGCACUUUAAGCGAGGAGGAGGCUCUUUUGGUUAAUACCCAAGAUGAGUGGACGUUACUCGCAGAAUAAGCACCGGCUAACUCUGUGCCAGCCGCCGCAGUACCAC
rnacentral:rRNA from 1 species